UACAGAGGGUGCAAGCGUUGUUCGGAAUCAUUGGGCGUAAAGCGCACGUAGGCGGCUUGCAAGUCGGGUGUGAAAGCCUGGGGCUCAACCCCAGAAGUGCAUUCGAAACUGCAGAGCUUGAGUCUUGGAGAGGGUGGUGGAAUUCCGAGUGUAGAGGUGAAAUUCGUAGAUAUUCGGAGGAACACCAGUGGCGAAGGCGACCACCUGGACAAAGACUGACGCUGAGGUGCGAAAGCGUGGGGAGCAAACAGG
rnacentral:rRNA from 1 species